rnacentral:miRNA from 14 species
CACUUGAAACUGUGCCUGUUGU